GCCGGCUUAGCAUAGUGGUAGUGCGUCUGCCUUGUAAUGCUUACGUGAUCGUACGCACUAUGACAGCAGAAGGUCGUGUGUUCAAUCCACACAGUCGGCA